rnacentral:misc_RNA from 1 species
UGGCGCUCGCGUUUUUAAGUUACAUGCUUUGUUCAAUUUCGUAAAUAUUGAAGCAGCAAAUAUUCACAUAAAGAGAAAUAAAUGAUUUUUUAAUGUAAAAAUUGGGAACAAUUGUACUGAGUUAUCAAUAUAAAUCAAUAAAAAAGAUAAUAAAAUAAUACAGUGUGUUCCAAGAUAACAAAUUAUAUAAAUAAUACCAUAAUGUCGACACUCAUUGAACACGAUCAAAUGAAUAAUCAACGGCUCUUGCCUCGGAUAGCAUUAAUUGCGUGUGGCUCCUUCAGUCCGCCAACACCUAUGCAUUUCCGUAUGUUCGAGAUUGCGAAAGAUUUCUUUAAAACUCAAGGAACUCAUCAUGUUGUCGGCGGAAUUGUUUCUCCUACUCACGACUCUUAUCAGAAGAAAGGACUUGUUGCUGGUACACAUCGAUUUGCAAUGUUAAAAUUAGCAUUACAAUCCUCUACAUGGAUAAAGACUUCCGAUUGGGAAAUACAGCAAGCGGAGUGGACACGCACACUGUCUGUUUUACAAUAUCACCAGAACUAUAUGAAUAAUUAUAUAAAUUCUCCACUUGAGGGUGAUAUGAAUGGUACUUUGCCGGGUUGGAUGCCGCCUGGUUUACGUGAGCGGCAGGAUGGUGUACAGCUAAAAUUGCUAUGUGGCGCCGACUUGUUGGAAUCAUUUGCAGUGCCAGGGUUAUGGGCUGAUAAGGAUAUUGAAGAUAUAGUUGGCAAUCACGGUCUGGUCGUAAUAUCACGUUAUGGCGCUAAUCCCGAAAAAUUCAUUUUUGAGUCAGAUUUAUUAACCAAAUAUCAGAAAAAUAUUACCCUAAUCACUAAUUGGGUGCCGAAUGAAGUUAGCUCAACGAUGAUACGUCGGCUUAUAUCACGUGGACAGUCGGUGAAAUAUUUGCUUGAUGAUAGGGUAAUCGAUUAUAUACAAAUGCAAGGAUUAUUCAACUGUAAAACGUGACAUAAUUCAGCCGUAAAUACUGUUCUUCCUAACAACAAUAUUACUCUGCCUUAUAACAAUCAAAGUUUUGAUACAAAUUUAUUGCGUAAAAAUAUCGUGGAAACAACACAGCAGCGUAUAAAAAUUAAAUGGAAACUAUUAAUGGAGUUUUCACUUUAGAUAAUCGUAAGCCGACAAGUAUGAAUGUCUUCUGUUGCGGUGAAAAUGAGAGUAUUACUUCGGCAAAGAAACUACUACCC